rnacentral:rRNA from 1 species
UACAUGGGGUGCAAACGUUGCUCGGAAUUAUUGGGCGUAAAGCGCGCGUAGGCGGUUACUUAAGUCGGAUGUGAAAGCCCUCGGCUUAACUGAGGAAGUGCACCCGAAACUGAGUAGCUAGAGUACGAAAGAGGGUCGCGGAAUUCCACGUGUAGCAGUGAAAUGCGUAGAGAUGUGGAGGAACACCGAUGGCGAAGGCAGCCCCCUGGGCUAACACUGACGCUCAUGCACGAAAGCGUGGGGAGCAAACAGA